rnacentral:RNase_P_RNA from 1 species
ACAGGCGUUAGCUCGGCACUCUCUGUGGACACACGUGAUUAUCAUACAUCCAGGGGGGAAGGUCUGAGGAACCAGCGGGGGCUGAAAAGCCGGCCGUAGCACAUACGGAAAACGCCCAACAGAAAACAGCUACGCAUGAAAGUGGCGUUAUGGUCAGGGCUACGCCUAAAGUCAAAUUGCCGAGGCUCUUGUAACUCAAUUCAGACUACUCAAUGCCUGU